rnacentral:rRNA from 1 species
UACGGAGGAUGCGAGCGUUAUCCGGAUUUAUUGGGUUUAAAGGGUGCGUAGGCGGUCCGUUAAGUCAGCGGUAAAAUUGCGGGGCUCAACCCCGUCGAGCCGUUGAAACUGGCAGACUUGAGUUGGCGAGAAGUACGCGGAAUGCGCGGUGUAGCGGUGAAAUGCAUAGAUAUCGCGCAGAACUCCGAUUGCGAAGGCAGCGUACCGGCGCCACACUGACGCUGAGGGACGAAAGCGUGGGGAUCGAACAGG